GUGGCUCAGUGGUUAAGCGUUUGGCUGCUAACCAAAAGUUUGGCAGUUCAAAAUCCUCAGCUGCUC
rnacentral:tRNA from 1 species